GCUGCAGUAGCUCAGCUGGUAGAGCGCAUCCUUGGUAAGGAUGAGGUCACCGGUUCAAAUCCGGUCUGUAGCU
rnacentral:tRNA from 1 species